UAUCUCCUAAAAAUCCUCCUAGUGUCGUCCCCCUCACCCCCUCACUCUCCACCUUUUUGUUUUUUUCCACCUUUUUGUUUGUUUCCUCUUCACUUUUGUUGCUGUAACCUCCUCUUUGUCGAAUUUUCUCUGCUUUCUCCUUCUUUCUUUUUCUUUUUUCUUCAUUUUUUCAUUGUUUACAUAAUUUUACGAUUAACGCUCUCUUCUUUUCCUCAUUUGUUGUCCCUACCUUAUGUGUUGCUGCUGUCUAGAUUUUGAUUCUUCCUAGUGUCAUCGGUAACCUUCUGGUUUUGGUGUUAGCCGUGUGUGAUCUGAAGUUUGGCGUAGUAUCUUAAUUUUUUUAAGUGAGGAUUGUGAGGAACACGCCCCUCUUGCAAAUUAAGUGCCUUGGAAACCACCGCUUCUAAGGAACUCGGAUUGAUGCUGUUGUGUUGACAUCCCGAAAACAAUCUAGUGUGUGUAACUUGAAAACUUGUAAAUUCAUGCAAAACCGAUAGUGGGCAGUCACGACACAUGGGCGUGUACCUGGCCGUGUGGACUACACGAGUGUGUGCCCUAGGAGUGUGAGCUACACGGAUUGAUUAAGUACGGUAUGUGGGCCACAAUGGCAUAUGAGCUUAUUUCAAAUAAUUUUUAGGGUCGUGUUUUGAGUCGAAUAAGUGAGUUUAAUAGUACGCUAAAAUCUAUUAUGUAAACUACCAUAUGUAAAUUUUCUGAAGGCAUGCGAAAUCAUGAAAAGUUGUGUACUUGAUUGUAUGUUUGUGUGUAUGAGCAUGUCUUUAAUAAGUAACUUCGAAUAAGUUAUAUGCAUGCCUCCAAUCUAUUAAUUUGUAUGCUC